rnacentral:lncRNA from 1 species
GUAGAAGCCAGGACUUGAUAUUUUGAAUUCAAAACUUUUUUCUCAGCCUUCACUCUCCUCAACCUAUUUUCAGUUGUUCGACAACUACUGACCCCUCUGCCCAUUUUAACAGAAAUGGCAAAACUGAAGAACAGGAGCAGCAGAUGUAGCUGCCUUUUGAGGACCUCUUCCACCUGCAGAAGCAUCCCUUCCAUCUACCAACUGAUAUUUGUGAUUCAGCAAAUUUGGCAGGCCUGUUCCAUCCUUUGUGAAUUUUUGGCAGUCAAAAUAUCAAGUUCUAAGAAGGAAGAACAAGUGAGUACUUUGCUUUAAGAAGUGCUUUUGAAAUGGGUAUUUAAGGUUUCUGAGAAGUUAUUUACAGGAAUAGAUUGGAUAA